AGAGUUUGAUCAUGGCUCAGAUUGAACGCUGGCGGCAGUGCUUAACACAUGCAAGUCGAGCGGGGGAAGGUAGCUUGCUACUGGACCUACGGCGGACGGGUGAGUAAUGCUUAGGAAUCUGCCUAUUAGUGGGCGGACAACAUCUCGAAAGGGAUGCUAAUACCGCGAUACGUCCUACGGGAGAAAGCAGGGAUCUUCGGACCUUGCGCUAAUAGAUGAGCCUAAGUCGGAUUAGCUAGUUGUGGGGUAAAGGCCUACCAAGGCGACGAUCUGUAGCGGGUCUGAGAGGAUGAUCCGGCACACUGGGACUGAGACACGGCCAGAAUCCUACGGGAGGCAGCAGUGGGGAAUAUUUGGACAAUGGGGGGAACCUUGAUCCAGCCAUGCCGCGUGUGUGAAAGAAGGCCUUAUGGUU
rnacentral:rRNA from 1 species